GACGAACGCUGGCGGCGUGCUUAACACAUGCAAGUCGAACGGAAAGGCCCUGCUUGCAGGGUACUCGAGUGGCGAACGGGUGAGUAACACGUGGGUGAUCUGCCCUGCACUUCGGGAUAAGCCUGGGAAACUGGGUCUAAUACCGGAUAGGAGCCAUUUUUAGUGUGAUGGUUGGAAAGUUUUUUCGGUGUAGGAUGAGCUCGCGGCCUAUCAGCUUGUUGGUGGGGUAAUGGCCUACCAAGGCGGCGACGGGUAGCCGGCCUGGGAGGGUGGACGGCCACCUUGGGACUGAGAUACGGCCCAGACUCCUACGGGAGGCAGCAGUGGGGAAUAUUGCACAAUGGGCGCAAGCCUGAUGCAGCGACGCCGCGUGGGGGAUGACGGCCUUCGGGUUGUAAACUCCUUUCGCUAGGGACGAAGCUUUUUGUGACGGUACCUAGAUAAGAAGCACCGGCUAACUACGUG
rnacentral:rRNA from 1 species